CCCCCACCGCGGGCGUCUCUAGGUCCUGCCACAAUAUCAUGGAUCCAGGCGGUGGGAAGGGGGGGGGGGCGGUGACGUGUGAUGUCGCGUCUCCCCCAUAAGGACACGAUAGACCAAAGUGGCCCGAAGAACACAGAGACCGGAAGAGCAGAAAUGGGGCUAUGAUUCCCCCAAAAUCACAUAAACCCGAGCAGAGAGAAACUCCGAAGUUUC